UACGUAGGGCGCAAGCGUUAUCCGGAAUUAUUGGGCGUAAAGAGCUUGUAGGCGGUUUGUCGCGUCUGCCGUGAAAAUCCGGGGCUCAACCCCGGACUUGCGGUGGGUACGGGCAGACUAGAGUGUGGUAGGGGAGACUGGAAUUCCUGGUGUAGCGGUGAAAUGCGCAGAUAUCAGGAGGAACACCGAUGGCGAAGGCAGGUCUCUGGGCCACUACUGACGCUGAGAAGCGAAAGCGUGAGGAGCGAACAGG
rnacentral:rRNA from 1 species